rnacentral:rRNA from 1 species
GACGAACGCUGGCGGCGUGCUAAACACAUGCCAGUCGAACGGAAAGGCCCUGCUUUUGUGGGGUGCUCGAGUGGCGAACGGGUGAGUAACACGUGAGUAACCUGCCCUUGACUUUGGGAUAACUUCAGGAAACUGGGGCUAUACCGGAUAGGAGCUCCUGCUGCCUGGUGGGGGUUGGAAAGUUUCGGCGGUUGGGGAUGGACUCGCGGCUUAUCAGCUUGUUGGUGGGGUAGUGGCUUACCAAGGCUUUGACGGGUAGCCGGCCUGAGAGGGUGACCGGCCACAUUGGGACUGAGAUACGGCCCAGACUCCUACGGGAGGCAGCAGUGGGGAAUAUUGCACAAUGGGCGGAAGCCUGAUGCAGCAACGCCGCGUGCGGGAUGACGGCCUUCGGGUUGUAAACCGCUUUCGCCUGUGACGAAGCGUGAGUGACGGUAAUGGGUAAAGAAGCACCGGCUAACUACGUG